AACGAACGCUGGCGGCGUGCCUAACACAUGCAAGUCGAACGGGGCUUGUCGGGCCCACCGUGGUUCCGGGCUUCCUUCUGUAGUAGUGGGGGGGGGGUUCGGGGUUGUGGUGGGUCUGGCAAGCUUAGCGGCGCACGGGUGAGUAACACGUAGGCAACCUACCCCUGGGGGGGGGACAACUCCGGGAAACCGGGGCCAAUACCGCGUAAGACCACGGGCUGGAAUGUCUGUGGCAAAAGGAGCAAUCCGCCUGGGGAUGGGCCUGCGGCCUAUCAGGUAGUUGGCGGGGUAACGGCCCACCAAGCCAAAGACGGGUAGCCGGUCUGAGAGGAUGGACGGCCACACUGGAACUGAGACACGGUCCAGACUCCUACGGGAGGCAGCAGUGGGGAAUUUUGCGCAAUGGGGGAAACCCUGACGCAGCGACGCCGCGUGGAGGACGAAGGCCUUCGGGUUGUAAACUCCUUUUAGAGGGGAAGAUGAUGACGGUACCCUCUGAAUAAGCCACGGCUAACUCUGUGCCAGCAGCCGCGGUAAGACAGAGGUGGCAAGCGUUGUUCGGAAUUACUGGGCUUAAAGGGCGCGUAGGCGGUAGGGCAAGUCCGGUGUGGAAUCCUGCGGCUCAACCGCAGAAUUGCAUUGGAAACUGCCUUACUGGAGUCAGCGAGGGGAGGGCGGAAUUCCUGGUGUAGCAGUGAAAUGCGUAGAUAUCAGGAGGAAGGCCGGUGGCGAAGGCGGCCCUCUGGCGCUAGACUGACGCUGAGGCGCGAAAGCGUGGGGAGCAAACAGGAUUAGAUACCCUGGUAGUCCACGCCCUAAACGGUGGGCAUUAGGUGUUGGGCCCGCGAGGGUUCAGUGCCGUAGGGAAACCAUUAAGUGCCCCGCCUGGGGAGUACGGCCGCAAGGUUA
rnacentral:rRNA from 1 species